rnacentral:snoRNA from 1 species
CUGCUUCUAAGGUUUCCAUUACAGAUACAAGAAGAAUGUUUCCUUGUACUUUCUGUCUGAUCGUGGCAGCCAAGAUUGAAUAGAGAAACACAUAA